UCUCGUUUAACUCUGAGUGUUUGUUCAAUUUUAGGACUCAGCGCUGUGCGAACUGAAUUGCACUUUUAUUGCGUCG